rnacentral:rRNA from 1 species
GGCUGAAAUUCGCCUUCAUGAAGCUGGAAUUGCUAGUAAUGGCAGGUCAGCAUACUGCCGUGAAUACGUUCCCGGGCCUUGUACACACCGCCCGUCACACCAUGAGAGUUGGAGAUACCCGAAGCCUGUGAGCUAACUUUUAGAGGCAGCAGUCGAAGGUAGAAUCAAUGAUUGGGGUGAAGUCGUAACAAGGUAAC